rnacentral:rRNA from 1 species
GACGAACGCUGGCGGCGUGCUUAACACAUGCAAGUCGAGCGGUAAGGCCCUUUCGGGGGUACACGAGCGGCGAACGGGUGAGUAACACGUGGGUGACCUGCCCUUAGCUCUGGGAUAAGCCUGGGAAACUGGGUCUAAUACCGGAUAUGACUCCAUGACGCAUGUUGUGGGGUGGAAAGCCUUGUGCGGCUAGGGAUGGGCCUGCGGCCUAUCAGCUUGUUGGUGGGGUGAUGGCCUACCAAGGCGACGACGGGUAGCCGGCCUGAGAGGGCGACCGGCCACACUGGGACUGAGACACGGCCCAGACUCCUACGGGAGGCAGCAGUGGGGAAUCUUGCGCAAUGGGCGAAAGCCUGACGCAGCGACGCCGCGUGGGGAUGACGGCCUGGU